CAUAAACAAAUUGUUUUCAAAUUAUUAAGAAAUUAUAAACAAAUUGUUAUCAAAUCUUUAACAAAUCAAAAGUAAAUCAUAUAUUCCUACCUUAAGCAAAUCAUAAGCAAAUCGUAAAUAAAUUGGCAUCAAUCAACAAUUCACAGAUUAAUUCAUUCACAUCCAGAUCAAACAUAUGUUCUGCCCCUAAAACCACUAAACUUUGAAGCGCAAUUGUCUUCAUUUUACCUUAAAUAGCUACUCCUCUAAUUGUAAAAAGGAAUACUAUCUUUGGUUGCGGUGGGGAUGAAUUGUUCACUCUGUGUAAGUUUCUCUUACUUCUCUCCCGAAUUUGACUAUAACGAAAUUUCAAAAAAACAUGG
rnacentral:lncRNA from 1 species